rnacentral:lncRNA from 1 species
AAAAUCAGGCAGGGGUACUGAGAAUACAAUGAUUGGACAAAUUUGCACAGGACAUUCCACACAUGGGAACGGCAUGGGGAAUGAAUGGAAACUGCCUACAAUAUGCAUCAUGAAUAGCUUGAGGUAUUCUAUGUCAGGUAAAUGCAAGUGGUCUAGGGGCUGCUGAGCAAGGGUGGUGACUAGACAUACAGAAACACAAAGCAAGGCUGAGAUGGUGUAAGUCUUUUGUAGAUCAAGAAGUUUGGACUUUAUGGAUAGGCAGUAGAGAGUUGGGGGAUAGAAAGAUAACUUCCAAGAAUAAAGCAGAAGGGUGGGGCUGGGGCAGGAUAGAGAGACCUGAGAGAUUUAGCGAAGUAAGGUCUUUGUCUGUCAGAUAAGUGUCUAGAUCAGUGGUUCUCAACCUCCCUAGUGCUGCGAUCCUUUAAUGCAGUUCCUCAUGUUGUGGUGACACCCCCCCACACCCCGCAACCAUAAAAUUAUCUUCAUUGCUACUUCACAACUGUAAUUUUGUUACUGUUUUGAGUCAUAAUGCAAAUAUCUGAUAUGUAGGUUAUCUAAUAGGUGACCCCUGUGAAAGACUUGUUAGAUGCCCCAAAGCGUCCUGACCCACAGGUCGAGAAUCACCGGCAUAGAUGGUGAGAUGGCUCAGUGAGGAAGUAUACCUUCUGCAAAGCCUGAUGACCCAAGUUCAAGUAAGGGUCUACACUUGCAAGUCGAGAAAGCAGUAUGUCAGAGAAGUGCCAAACAACUGGAAGCACUUAGAUUUGACUGAUGAACGACUCUGAUGGAGUGUUAGGGAAUAUCAUGUCUCCUUGAUUUUCCUGAGAAGGCGUUGAUUACUGCAAAAUAAAUUAACUUUACAACUGUGCAUACACUCCUAACAUUCACUCGGCUAGGUGUGCUCCUUUCUAAGGACAUGUAAGGAAGUUUGGAUUUGUUGUUUUCAUUUUAUCAGAACCUAUUUCUUACUUCCCUGUUUCCUAUUUCAUAUUGUUUAUGUCCAAGACUAAAAGCUGCUUUUCAGGAACAUGGUAUUACUGUAAUGGCAAUCUUUUGUUAUGGAUAAGAAGCACAUGGGCAGAGAUUUUAUUUUAUAUAAUCUAUCUAGGGUGUUAAUCAACUUAGAUAUUUUAGUUAAACUAAGUUUAUAUUGAUACACAUGUAUUUUGAAUAAAAUCAGUUCUACAUA